rnacentral:rRNA from 1 species
AGAACGAACGCUGGCGGCAGGCUUAACACAUGCAAGUCGAACGCCCGUAGCAAUACGGGAGUGGCAGACGGGUGAGUAACACGUGGGAACAUACCCUUUGGUACGGAACAACUCGGGGAAACUCGAGCUAAUACCGUAUACGGCCGUGAGGCGAAAGAUUGAUCGCCGAAGGAUUGGCCCGCGUCCGAUUAGCUAGUUGGUGAGGUAAUGGCUCACCAAGGCGACGAUCGGUAGCUGGU